GCUGUCCCCACUCCUUACUAGCUGUGUGACUCUGGACGGGCGACGCACGGAACCUCUGUGAGACCCAGGCUUCUCGUUUGUGAAAAUAGUAGCCGCACGUAGCUGUCGAUCAGAGCGUCUGUUCAGCAAGAGAAAAGGCAGGGGGUCUCAUGCCGGGUCCCCAUCACUCCGGCCCACAGCGUGAGGUUGUCGGUGGCCCGGCAGCUCUACGUGGGGAAGUAUCCAGCUAAUAAGUGGAUGAACCGGAAGGCCCUGGGAGGCAGUCUGUCAUGCAGAAGGGUUCAGG